GACGAACGCUGGCGGCGUGCUUAACACAUGCCAGUCGAACGGAAAGGCCCUGCUUUUGUGGGGUGCUCGAGUGGCGAACGGGUGAGUAACACGUGAGUAACCUGCCCUUGACUUUGGGAUAACUUCAGGAAACUGGGGCUAAUACCGGAUAGGAGCUCCUGCUGCAUGGUGGGGGUUGGAAAGUUUCGGCGGUUGGGGAUGGAUUCGCGGCUUAUGAGCUUGUUGGUGGGGUAGUGGCUUACCAAGGCUUGGAAGGGUAGCCGGCCUGAGAGGGUGACCGGCCACAUUGGGACUGAGAUACGGCCCAGACUCCUACGGGAGGCAGCAGUGGGGAAUAUUGCACAAUGGGCGGAAGCCUGAUGCAGCAACGCCGCGUGCGGGAUGACGGCCUUCGGGUUGUAAACCGCUUUCGCCUGUGACGAAGCGUGAGUGACGGUAAUGGGUAAAGAAGCACCGGCUAACUACGUG
rnacentral:rRNA from 1 species